CAUCUCCCGGGCUGGGGGGUGAGGGGUUCUCAGACCGGACGGGGGCGAGCACGUGCCUGAUGCAAUUCGGGAGGCGGGGGCGAUGAGGGGGGCAAAAGAAAUGGGGGGGUAAACGGGGGAGGUUCCUUAAAGGGCCAGCGCGUGAGAGCGGCCGCAGGUGGAGCACAUGGGAACGGGCCAUGCGGCCGCCCGGGCCUGCUCGCGCUCUUGAGGUUAGGUGAGCCAGAUUCGGGAGAAGGAGCCAUUAAUGCCACCCGCCACUUACAGGGUGGUGGAGGGGGGUACCCAUCCACCCCAAGGACGCGCCGACGGUGCUGGCUCGCUGGCGCACAGCGGGCCUGGCCCCUCCAGGCCCCGCCCGGGUGACCUUGGGCGAACCGCCCUCACCUCCGCCGGCUGUGCUCGGCUCCUCCCCGCCGUCCCCGGCCCGGACACUGACCGGAGAUGGGUUCGACGCCCGGACCGGAAGGCGGGCCCUUAACCCUUAGGGGCAGCGGGCGCCUAGGAGGGCGUUCGUGGAACCAGGACAGACGUGAUUGUCCCCAGCUGGCAGCCAAAGAACUGAGCCCCAACGAAGUUCAGUAAUUUGCUCCAGGAUGCCAGAGCAGCAGAAUCAAGAUCAGAACCCUAGUCCAGACCCCUGCACAACACGACGCAAGACAGAGAGCACCCAUGGAGAAUACAAACCCUCCCCAGACCCCCAGACUCAGUUUCUCUUCUUCAGGAAUUUGGAAGGAUCCAGGUGAGACACAUCCACUUGGCAGAUGUCAGCAGCACACAGAAGCUCUGCAUACUUUCAGGAAGUCUUGUGUGACUUUUGCUCAAUACCUGUCAUGUCCUGUGGACCCAGGGCUGGAGGAGGCACCUGGAGUCAGCCCUCUCAUCAUACAGCUCAGAAACCGAGGCCCAGAGAGUGGACAGCACGUGCCCGAAGUCCUACAGCUGGUUCAUGGCAGAGGCUUGACUAGGUAACCAGGUCUCUUGAGGCCAGACUCCAUGCUCUUUCCUCCAGGCCUACGGAAUCUUGCAAUUGCUCUAAGUUAGCUGUUGUGUAUCAAAAUCGUGUAAUGCCUUGGGGUUUACAUUGGCCAAAACUCAUUGAACUGCACGCUUAAAACCUGUACCGUCCACUGUUUUAAAUAUAACUCAAUUUAAAAAAUGAUAAAAUGGUAUGGAAGCAUCCUGUUUCAUGAAGGGGUCAGUGUCUAAGGUCAGAAUUUAGGGCAAAAAUAAUGUAUAUUCUAAAGGGCUCAAGAAAACCCCUUAGGAAGGCAGCACACUGGAGCCAGCCUCGUCUCUCAGUGUUUCUGCGGGUGUUGUAACAGCUUGCUGUUUCUUCAGAGGGGCUAGAGUAGACGCUGGCUGGCAGGUAGGGGUCAGGUUGUGACAAAAAGAAAGUAUCUCCACAACAGGGUGAUUGAUAUUCAGGGUGGUGAGAUGCACAUGUGGGAACUAAGACUGCUGAGGCUUGUCACACACACGCACACACACACACGCACACGGACCUCCCUGAGCAGGUUCCUGGAACAGGUUAACUGAAGGCCUAGAGCUGGAGAGAAGGAUCUGAGAGUUCCUGGGCCCCAGCGAGUGAGAGAAGUCAGGGGAAUGUCAUGGCCUCUGACGGGGAGGGCUGAGGGGCAGGGGGUCAGAGCACAGCUGGAAAGCUGAAAGAACAGAGAACACCUCAUUCAAGAGGAGAGGGCAGGGGUGGGGAACCAGGGAAGGGAGGUGAGAUAAAAAGAGAGAGACAUUUGGAGGUAGUUUGGGUUUGAGAAGGAGAAAGCAAGUACCACGGGUGGACCUGCCGUAGCAUCGCAAAACUAAUGAUUGCCCUUUGAUAAGUAAGCACCCCAAAAUUUGGAGUGAUGGAGGUGGGGGAGGCUAAUCCACAAAGCAGGAUAUGUUUAAUGAGAUUAAAUUCGAUAACUUUCAGAACAGUUUGUUAGUCAUGUAUAUAUAAAAAGGAAGAUUCCAUUCUUCUCGAUAUCAAAAAGGUUUGUUCUUUUGAGGGUUUUAAACAUUCACCGUAGAAUUGUGUUAAACCAAUACAUUUGUUCACCUCACACCCAUUAGGAUUGGCUAGUAUCAAAAAAAAAGAAAGAAAGAGAAGAGAACAAGUGUUGGCAGGGAUGUUGAGAAAUUUGGAACCCUUGUAGGCUGUUGGUGGGAAUGGAAAAUGCUGCAACCACUAUGGAAAACAGUAUGUCGCUCGUUCAGAAAACUAAAAAUAGAGCUACCACAAGCCCCAACAAUCCCACUUUUUGGUGUAUCUCCAAAGGAGUUGAGAGCAGGGUCUUGAAGAGACAUCAGCACUCACGUUCAUAGCAGCACUACUCACAAUAGCCAAGCGAUAGAAACAACCCGAAUGUCCAUUGAUGGAUGAAUGGAUAAACCAAUGUGGCAGCUACGCACGACAGAAUAUUAUUCAGCCUUAAAAAGGAAGGAAGCUCUGCCACAUGCUACAACGUGGAUGAUCCUUGAGGACACUAUGCUAAAUGAAAUAAGCCAGUCACAAAACAACAGAUACUGUAUGAUUCUACUCAUAGGAGGAAUAUAAAGUAGUCAAAUUCAUAGAAACAGAAAGGAGAAGGUGCUGCUAGGGGCUGGAGGACAGGGGGAAGGGGCAGCUGUUUACUGAGUACGGAGUUUCAGACGUGCCAGAUGAAAAAGUUCUGGAGGUCUGUUUUACAACAGUUUGAGUAUACUUAACAUUACUGAACUGCACACUUAAAAACAGUAAAUUUUAUGUUAGCUGUCUUUUAUUACAAUAAAAAAAAGAACAAACGAAACA
rnacentral:lncRNA from 1 species